rnacentral:lncRNA from 1 species
CUUCCCACCAGGUGGUGGAGCUGGUGGCCUAUGCUGCUGCUCAUGUCUAGAAACAUCACCAUGAUUUGAAUUUCCAAGUUCUCUCCUUUCUCUAGACAUUCCUUUAUCUCUUUCACCUCCACUUUCCUUAGGAGGAGGUGGUGGUGGUGGGGAACUUGGUGGUGGUGGUGGUGGUGGCGGCAUUGAAGAGCUGGGUGGAGGAGAUGAAGGAGGUGGUGGAGGAGGUGGCUGCAUUGGUUGUUGCAAUGGUUGAUGACCAUGCAGAGGAGGAUACUGUGAUGAAGGGUAGUAUCCUCCUGAUGCUGGUGGAGGUGGAGGUGGAGGUGGAUAUGAUGAGUCUGGUGGUGGUGGUGGAGGUGGUUGUUGAUAUGGAUAUUGUUGGUGAGGUGGCGGUGGUGGUGGUGGAGGAUAAUGUUGUGAGAAUUUUUGCUGGUUAGGAAUUUGCAUUUGAUUGUAUUGAUUAGGUCUUUGCUGCUGCUGCUGCUGUUGUGGUGGUGGUGGUGGUGGUGGUGGUGGUAGUGUGGAUUGUGA